CCACCAGGCUGGAAGAUCUCCCAGAACCCUGUCCUGUGACAAACCCUCGCCAUCACUUAGUUUAAUUCCCAUUUAAUAUAAUGUCAAGAUAAAGACUGGGAAUUCAUGGGCUUGACCUGUGGACAGUGCCGUGCAAAUGUGGGAGAAUAAAAUAUCCCUGAGCUCGCCCUCAGUGGCAAAGAUUUUAUUUAUUUUCUUCAGAGUGGGUGUCUGGUGAUUUUUUUUUCUUUCCGGUUGUUGUUAUUGUACUCGUUGGAGCAUUAAAUUUAGAAAGCAGUGUGACCUGUCACAGCUGGAGCCAGCAGGAUCAUGAGAUGAUGUAACCUGGACACACAGGCCUUUCUGCCUGUAUGUUCAAGACCCAUUACUUGGGCUGGAGAGAUGGCCCAGUGGUAGGGUGCUUGCCGCUUGUGCACAGGACCAGAGUUUGGUUGCCAGCACCCACAUCAGACGGCUCACAACUGCCUGAAACUCCAGCCCUGGGAGACCUGAUGCUCUCCUCUAGCCUCUGAGGGCACCUGCAUGCAUAUGCACACUAGUACACACACAUACACACUAAUAAACAUAUGCACACUAAUAUACAACAUGCACACUAAUACACAUAUGCACACUAAUACACACAUGCACACUAAUACACACAUGCACACUAAUACACACACAUGUACACUAAAUACACAUGCAUGCAUACUAAUAUACAAACACACACAUGCACAUAAUAAUAAAAAUUGGGGGGAUGGGAGGUAGAUAUCAUAUUUCAAUUGUAUAUGCACAAUGUUCUUUAAAAUAAAAAUAAAAACAUUUUGAAAUUAAAAUGUUACAAACAUGCACAUGAGCUGCUGGGCUGGGUGGACGGCUCCUUGUCUGCCUGUGUCUCUUCUCCCUAUUUUCCAUGUUAGCAGACUCUCAAUC
rnacentral:lncRNA from 1 species